rnacentral:rRNA from 1 species
UACAGAGACUGCAAGCGUUAUUCGGAUUCACUGGGCGUAAAGGGUGCGCAGGCGGCCAAGUGUGUGAGGCGUGAAAGCCCGGGGCUUAACCCCGGAAUUGCACCUCAAACUACAUGGCUAGAGCAUUGGAGAGGGUAGCGGAAUUCACGGUGUAGCAGUGAAAUGCGUAGAUAUCGUGAGGAACACCAGAGGCGAAGGCGGCUACCUGGACAAUUGCUGACGCUCAGGCACGAAAGCGUGGGGAGCAAAGGGG